GAUGAACGCUGGCGGCGGGCCUAAUACAUGCAAGUCGAGCGAACAGACGAGGAUUUUGCUCCUCUGACGUUAGCGGCGGGCGGGUGAGUCACACGUGAAUAACCUACCUAUAAGACUGAGAUAACCUCGGGAAACCGGAACUAAUACCGGAUAAUAUAUAGAACCGUAUGGUUUAAUAGUAAAAUUCGGUUUUGCUGUUACUUAUAGAGGAAUCUGCGCCGCAUUAGCUAGUUGGUAAGGUAACGGCUUACCACUUCGACGAUGCGUAGCCGACCUGCCAGGGGGAUCGGCCACACUGGACCUGAGACACGGUCCAGACUCCUACGGGAGGCAGCAGUAGGGAAUCUUCCGCAGUGGGCGAAAGCCUGACGGAGCACCGCCGCGUGAGUGAUGAAGAUCUUGGGAUCGUAAAACUCUGUUAUUAGGGAAGAACAAAUGUGUAAGUAACUAUGCACGUCUUGACGGUACCUAAUCAGAAAGCCACGGCUAACUACGUG
rnacentral:rRNA from 1 species